ACCGGCGCACGGGUGAGUAACACGUAUGCGACCUGCCCCCGCAGGGGGAUAACCGGGAGAAAUCCCGACUAAUACCGCGUAACGCCGCGGACCUGCAUGGGUCUGCGGCCAAAGGAAGCGAUUCCGGCGGGGGAUGGGCAUGCGGCGCAUUAGCUAGUCGGCGGGGUAACGGCCCACCGAGGCGACGAUGCGUAGGGGUUCUGAGAGGAAGGUCCCCCACACUGGUACUGAGACACGGACCAGACUCCUACGGAAGGCAGCAG
rnacentral:rRNA from 1 species